UACAGAGGUCUCAAGCGUUGUUCGGAAUCACUGGGCGUAAAGGGUGCGUAGGCGGCGUGGAAAGUCAGAUGUGAAAUCUGGGGGCUUAACCUCCAAAUAGCAUCCGAUACUACCAUGCUUGAGAAAUGGAGGGGGAUCUGGAAUUCUCGGUGUAGCAGUGAAAUGCGUAGAUAUCGAGAGGAACACUAGUGGCGAAGGCGAGAUCCUGGACAUUUUCUGACGCUGAGGCACGAAGGCCAGGGGAGCAAACGGG
rnacentral:rRNA from 1 species